UGUAUUAAAGAAUUAAAUGGAUGAAAUAUGAAGUUUUAUUAAAAGAAAAAGGGGUGAAAAGAACAAAGUUUUGUCCAUCUUUGUUGAUCAUAGCUGAAAGUUAGAGAAGAGAAAGGAGAGGAGAAAGCUCUUGAGUAUUCGGUCAUUAGGAGGAGGAAAAUUGAAGGUGGUUCGUGUGUGGAUCUCGUCAGCAUAUCGUCGCAAACAGGUAAUCCCCAACCAUAGUGGGCUUGGAGCUGUGAGGGAAUUCGGAGUGGCCACCCGUUCUGAAAGUUUGAUUUUCUUCUAGUGAACUGGACAUCCUUUUAUUUACGUUUGAAGUUUUGGGUUUUUAAAAGUAAUAAGGCCGCUUAAUUAUUUUUGAUGGUUUUAAUAUGUAUUACUAAGAUAGGUAUUACUUA